GUUUUCAAGAUACCUCGUUGUAUAACUCUAUAUUAUAGUGAUAGGUAUUAUGAUCGAUAACCAAUACUAAUAGACUUAUUUUUAUAAUUCGACUAUUUUCAUAAGCUGACGCUAAUGCAACCAAAUUGAGCAGGUUAAUUGACUCACAUGUUAAAAAGAAGUGUUGUAAUUUACACGACCGUUGGUGAUCAAGGGAGGAAAGUGAAUUAGGUUGGCAAGCAUACGAGUACAUUCCUUUGACGUCAUGAAGCCAGCAUUUUCUGGAUUGCCCCUUCUGCCACAACCGGCCGGAGAUGGCAGAGCCAGUCAUUGGCCAGUGAAAAUACAUGGAUACACAAUUCAGCUUUCACAUAUUACCAAAUGUUAAUUAGUUGAUUGAAUCCAAAUUAGCAAUUUUUACACGGCUAGUGUAGAAUGUAGUAAUGUGCUAGAUUUUAAACAAGUAACAUCGCAUACUAUAGACGGUGAUCAUCUCACUUUAUCUUGAACGUUGAGAAACUGCUAUUUAUAGAGGUUUUAUAUUUCUUUCUAUGAUAAUAACAAGCAAAGUCUGCUAUUAGACUAAGACAGAAAUAUCCAG